AUGAGUGUGCCAGUUGUGAUGAUAGAGGGGAAACGUGAGGUUACAACAAAGAACGAUCUUCCAAAUUCAAAUCUUACAGUAGUGGUUGAGCAUGCCUUUUACUGUGAGCAUUUAUAUGAUCCUGAUACUGGAGCUCUUAAGCAGCUACCGACAAAUGUUAAGCUCGCGACCCUGACAAGGAAGGCGCAUGCUGCGAAAGAAAAUAAAGACGCAUCACAUACAAAAUGGGCAAUUGGAUAUGAAGAACCUGACAGGCAAGCAUUUGGUGAAAAUAAUCGAGAAGCACUGACAUUAUUGGAGAACUGCAAUGUGAUUUUAAAGUUGUGGGCACGGAGGCAAACCGGAGGGCAGCCUCUAGAGUGUCGCGGAAGAGUGGUGCAAAUGAUUGAGUAG
rnacentral:rRNA from 1 species